UUGCCGUCGUGCUGGUGCUGCUACUACGGAGGCAGUCUACGGCCAAGGCGCCCAUCACUCGGAACCCGUCCGAGUCUGCGUACGACAACCCUACUUACAAGACUUAUGAUGGAGAGAAGCCCGAAGAGAAGAACGGGAAUGUGCAAGCAUGACUGCGACACUAGAAACAUAGUCUUCACGCUGAGCGUUAUUGUAAUAUAGCACUAGUACAUAUAUAAAUAUAAAUAUACUAUAAUGUUCAUAAUUCCCCCCUGACACAUGAUUGUACAUACGAUGACAGCAAGAAUGACGUUAUAAGUAUUCUUGUUUUUUUUCUCCAUAAAAAAAGCGCACAAAUAACAAAAGGACUGUUCAUGUUGCUGCUGGGGUCCUUUUCUUUUAGGUAGGACAACAAGAGAUGUUGUCCUUGGCAGCCUUUAGGACAGUGCUGCGCCAACUGCGCGUGUAUGAGCACAACCAGCCAACGUGGAAUGCGUCGACUGAGAUUAGAUAUAUUCAGAUUGAAUGUAUGCUGACUUGCCGACAACGUUACUCUUUUCGCCUGAAAUCGUGCCAACGGAGUUGCCUGUAUGACGGGAUCCGUUAGGAUGGCACUUUACAGCAUAUUACGAUGUUUAGGAGCGUACCGCACCAGUUCUGUUUAGUCAUAGGUGAAUUUAGUUUUUUUUUCCUGCGACGCAUAUUUCUAAAUAUUUGCUUCGUAUAUUUGAGCCUGCGUACCUUGCUAUAUACCAGUGCGUACAAAAGGUCAUGCUGAAGUGCAAAAGCUGACUGCUGCUUACGUAACACAGCAAACAUUGUUAGACAGCAGCUGCAUAGUUGCGUAAUAUGUUUCUUAGUCUCUUUUUACGCCAUUUUGCGCCUGUAGGCAGCAAAAGUCAUUGUCACGUGACCCACAACGACUUACAGUGGACACUAACCCGGCUGCUACGAAGUCCUCGCCUUCGAGGAGGCGCGAUCUGCCAUGAUGAAACAACGUUUGUUGUGUUGUGUUGUGAUUAGUGAUGACGUGGAUGUUGCAUGCGAUACUUUGCUACAACUUUCACAUGCUGGUAUGCACUGAAACGGUCAAUCAGCAGUUCCGUUUUAACGCAGAUGUCACUUGUGUCUGAGCUGCGAUAUUUACCCCCUCCUUUUCAAAAUGCUUUUGUACAUAAAACUAUUUGCCCUGAGGUUUUCUUUAGAAAACCCGCACCUGAUGAUGCCGGCUUUCUGCGCUACAAUGCCAGCAAAAGCGAUAUACAUAUAUCCCUUGAAAUUUGCAUAGUUUGUCGAGGCCAGACCUUACAGAGAGUGCACGUCAAUACGCAUCUCUUCUUUUACUGAACGCUAACGUUUACAUUAAGCGACAUACAUUAGCAGGCCCUGUCCUGCUGACGGCCUGUCAAUAUCGUUCUUUUUUUUUAAUUUAAGAUCCCAGAUGAAAGCUUCCCUAGACUUAUAACUGUUUCACCGGUGAAUUUUGUACACUGCCAAUUGCAAACCACCUCACAAGAAGAGUUGGUGACUUUCCAUCCAUUAUUUCGACCGCACUGACACAAUCGUCAGUGUUCUAAAAAGCCUAACAUUUCAUAUCAGCGUGAAAGGUCUUUUUUUUUCUUGGCUGUGAUGUUUUUGCUGUAACUUUUUGCCGUUCUAAUAUUGCUUGAAUGAAACUAGCAUUCAGUAUGAAUUGUCGGUGUGUCCUUUGUUCCUUCGUAACUACCACUUAAUUUUAUUUGAGAUCAAGCCAAGCUUGGGCUCACGUUAUAAUGCCAUACAGAAUGUGUUUAGGACUACGCUUAAUACAUGUGCUGUGAGCUGUUGUUUGACAUUCCGAGUGCUGGAUGCGUGUUUAAAAAAGGUGUGUUUGCUUUCGUGUAGUUUAUUGUUGCUUUUUUUACGAGCAGAAAACGUCGCGUUAUAAGUUUUUUUUUGUUAAGUGGUGAGUCAUGUUGGCUUAGCGCGUAGUGAAUUUAUGGAGCGCUGUUCGUUACAGCCUAAGAUUGAAUGAAGCAUGUGUGUGUGUUGUGAUUGUACAUAUGAAAUGUUAUCAAAGCUAUCAGAGAACAAAGACUAGAUGUCUUCACGUGUUUUUCUUGAAAUAAAAGAAAUGUACAUGUGUAGGAUGUGUACAAUAAAUCUAUUGUGUGAAAAUAA
rnacentral:lncRNA from 1 species